rnacentral:rRNA from 1 species
AGACGUCUACAUUAGAUACCCCCGUAGUCCCAGCCGUAAACUAUGCGCGUUAGGUGUAUCGGUGACCACGAGUCACCGAGGUGCCGAAGGGAAACCGUGAAACGUGCCGCCUGGGAAGUACGGUCGCAAGGCUGAAACUUAAAGGAAUUGGCGGGGAGCACAACAACGGGUGGAGCCUGCGGUUUAACUGGACUCAACGCCGGACAACUCACCGGGAACGACAGCAAUAUGUAGGCCAGGCUGAAGACCUUGCCUGAAUCGCUG